AUACGGAGGGUGCAAGCGUUAAUCGGAAUUACUGGGCGUAAAGCGUACGUAUGCGGUUCGUUAAGUUAGAUGUGAAAGCCCCGGGCUUAACCUGGGAACUGCAUUUAAAACUGGCGAACUAGAGUUGAGUAGAGGGGAGUGGAAUUUCAGGUGUAGCGGUGAAAUGCGUAGAGAUCUGAAGGAACACCAGUGGCGAAGGCGACUCCCUGGACUCGAACUGACGCUGAGGUACGAAAGCGUGGGUAGCAAACGGGAUUAGAAACCCUAGUAGUCC
rnacentral:rRNA from 1 species